AGUGAACGCUGGCGGUAGGCCUAACACAUGCAAGUCGAACGGCAGCACAGGAGAGCUUGCUCUCUGGGUGGCGAGUGGCGGACGGGUGAGGAAUACAUCGGAAUCUACUCUGUCGUGGGGGAUAACGUAGGGAAACUUACGCUAAUACCGCAUACGACCUACGGGUGAAAGCAGGGGAUCUUCGGACCUUGCGCGAUUGAAUGAGCCGAUGUCGGAUUAGCUAGUUGGCGGGGUAAAGGCCCACCAAGGCGACGAUCCGUAGCUGGUCUGAGAGGAUGAUCAGCCACACUGGAACUGGGACACGGUCCAGACUCCUACGGGAGGCAGCAGUGGGGUAUAUUGGACAAUGGGCGCAAGCCUGAUCCAGCCAUACCGCGUGGGUGAAGAAGGCCUUCGGGUUGUAAAGCCCUUUUGUCGGGAAAGAAAUCCAGCUGGCUAAUACCCGGUUGGGAUGACGGUACCCAAAGAAUAAGCACCGGCUAACUUCGUGCCAGCCGCCGCAGUAA
rnacentral:rRNA from 1 species